rnacentral:rRNA from 1 species
AUUGAACGCUGGCGGCAUGCCUCACACAUGCAAGUCGAACGGCAGCAUGAUCUAGCUUGCUAGAUUGAUGGCGAGUGGCGAACGGGUGAGUAAUACAUCGGAACGUGCCCUGUAGUGGGGGAUAACUAGUCGAAAGAUUAGCUAAUACCGCAUACGACCUGAGGGUGAAAGUGGGGGACCGCAAGGCCUCAUGCUAUAGGAGCGGCCGAUGUCUGAUUAGCUAGUUGGUGAGGUAAAGGCUCACCAAGGCGACGAUCAGUAGCUGGUCUGAGAGGACGAUCAGCCACACUGGGACUGAGACACGGCCCAGACUCCUACGGGAGGCAGCAGUGGGGAAUUUUGGACAAUGGGCGAAAGCCUGAUCCAGCAAUGCCGCGUGUGUGAAGAAGGCCUUCGGGUUGUAAAGCACUUUUGUCCGGAAAGAAAUGGCUCUGGUUAAUACCUGGGGUCGAUGACGGUACCGGAAGAAUAAGGACCGGCUAACUACGUG